UGGAAACGCAUAUCCUUUUAUUUCGCUAGAGAAAGAAAUUCUUACUUUUAUCUAAAACCAGAGGGAAAUGGUGCCAGGAAUCUGCUAAGUUUCUCAGACCUGUAGAAUCAAAGGCUUUAGAGAUCCAACAAAAGAUGGUAAGAGAUGUAAGCAUAAUUAUCAUUCAAUAUGUGUGAAUGCCUUAUAAGUGUCCCAGGCAUUAUGGGCAUGCCCCCUCCAGUGUCAUAAUGAUCUCUGAGCAAAAGAUUCUGCAACUAAACAAUAGACAAGAUUGACUUUUAAAAUGUUUCAGGGAUGGAGGUAGAAGGAUGCCUGAAUUUAAUCUGAAGCCACAUUGAGAUAUCCACAUAACUGAUUUAGAAAUAGUUCUCACUGGACUGACACACUGAAGUCGACCCCUGGUUCACACCAGCCACCUGCCCCUUCAUUCCUCCAGUCCAUCUGCCAUAAAGUCAGCACUGCAAUACAGUAAUAGAAAUCUUUAGAGAAACCAUCUGCUGCCUAAUAUUCUCUAUCAUCAGCCAAGGUUAUAAACGUUGCCUUUACAUUGUGCGGCCUGGGACCUCGAAGACACGGGUUCAGAUAAUAUAACAUCAUCAUCAUCAUCAUGGCCCUCAGAACCACACAUUCAAAUAGUUUUUCACCAAUAAGGUGAAAGAGUGUAAUACACUCCUUUUUCCUCCUCCCUUUCCCACCAUUCAACCAAAUCCAGUCCUGGAUCAAAGAUUCUGGAAAAUAUCACUCUCUUUAAGCUUUAACCAACUCGGAAUGGAAAUGCAGCCAGGACUCAAAAUAAAUUAUGCAGAGAUAUUGAAUAUAAUGGAAUAGGAAUGUGGAAUGACAAGUAAUAGAAAUGUGUAUGCUAUAGGGCUAGUUGAAAGUGUUUAAGGUAAUCAUUACUCAAUGGGGAAUUAAAGGAGUGAAAAUAAAUCUAUUGCUAAAUGGCAAAGAUUUCUUUAGUGUUUACCAUUUAGUACUUCUAAUUUUAUAAUAAUUACAAAUUUAGAGUAUAUUUGAUAUAAAUAUUUACCCCCCAAUGCUAAAUCAUAUUUAUUAUUCAAAAUACAUAUUUAAAUACAACCAUUUAAAUAAUCGUGUGAAGUACUAAGCUGUUUAAAUGAUUUAACAUAUAUAUAUAUAUAAUCAUCGUCCUUCUUCUAAAGGAUUUAUAUUUAUGUAAUUAUUUUUCAAAUAAUUUGAGACCUCAUCAUGUGUAUUAUUUUAUAAAGUAAAUCGUAACAAGAUGAUGUGAAUGGUUCUGAAACCAAAAUAUAUGUUAUAUGUUGUUCAACAACACAGCACUAUCUAGAAGGACUUAAACUUGAUAGAAUAACCCAGCACCACCACCUGCUGUUUGAUACAGAAAAUUCAACUUAGUGAGCUCACUUUUAGCUUGAUCUAGUUAUAAAUUAUCAUGGGGAUAAAGUGCCAUUAUCAUCCUUAUCUCUCAGAUUUUAAGGUCUUUAAAUAAUGUAUGUCUUGAGCAGAUACAGAUUUUAAAAUAUACCGAUAUUUCAAAGGGAAGAGAUAAACAGAACAAAACAAGGAAAGCCAAAUCAGAUAAAUAAAUACCUUGAACUUGAGCACUCUAUUGUACUCUAAAGAUAAGAGACUGAAUUAUCCUACUAAGGAAUCCCAUAAGCUUUUCAUCUUAGUGAUUUCAGAGACUAUACACGUCUUUCCUCUGUGUAUUUAUUACUGGUAACAGGUAUACGACCAAUGUAAUACAGAGGGAAAACACGACCUCUUAAAUUAAGACAAAUUUGGAUUUGAAUUCCAGCCUUUCCACCUGUUAGCUUUAAGCUCAGUCCAAUUAUGCAGCCUCUCUAAACCCCCUGCUGCAGAUUUGAAAAACUGGAAUAUCAACAUGGACCUAGGGUGUUAUGUGAAGCACUGGGGACACAUGUUAGGCACUAAAAAAAUGGCAUCUCUGAUGAUAUUAUUUUGUCCACAAUUGACAUAUAUAAGAAAAAUUUUAAAACCUAGGCUUUUACAUUUUUGAAUGAAAGUUGAUUAGCAUGUCCGUUUCUGCAAUGUGUUGCGAUGUGCUUCAGUUAAAUUAACUAGUUGAUUUCAUUUGUAAUCUUUUGAGUUCCCUAUAUAUCCUUGGCAACAGAAUAGAACAGUAUCACUCAAAUCCCAAAUUUGGGAAGUUCAAAUCAGACCAGACCAUGGACAGAUGAGAGGGUUAUCAUGAGAAGAUGUAAGAGGUUUUGUUUCUCAAAUAAGCAUAAAGUGUGGAACUUGAGUCAGACAGUCAACCUGAUUGAAACAUCAGAUUUACUGCGGACAAGCCUUACAAUUUCAGCCUACAAUCCAGUUGGGUAUUAUCUUUGACAAGAAGACUCUGAAGGAAGUAGACAGUCCAAACACAUGUUUCAUGGAUAUAUUUGGAUUCAUCCUAUGAUGCAAGGUCACUUUGGAAAGCAUGAAUCUGUCCUCAUGGACAAGCUUCCAAAAGAUUUAAAAAAAUGGAUUUUUAUCCUGUUUUCUGAUCUAAUCUCAUAGAAAGUAGUAAUUUUUUGAAACUUCAUUAUUAUCCUUAGGGUAGUAAUACUAUGAAUAAGGUCAUCACUAUGAGCCUUCUGUACAAAUUCAAUUAGAUGAGAAAAAUUAAAUAGAUCUGUAUCAUGGAACUUUUUGGUACUACAUAGAAUUAUACAAUGCAUGUAUGAAAAUAUAAAUAUGGAGAUGGAUGGAUAGAUACAGGGAUGGACAGAUGGAGAGACUUCAGAAAAGAAGUUUAGCAGGGGAAAAACGAAAGCUGUUCCUUACAUUAUAAUUCCAACUAACAAAGAUAAAAGGAAUGAUAGAAAUAGAAAAUCACUAUUUGGAAACCACCCUCAUAAUAAAGUUUCAGAAGCAUCAAUUUAUUGAGUGAGGAAAAUGUGGAUGGGAAAGAAGAAUAAAGAACCAGGAGCUGGAGUUUGGGAUGAACAGCACAUCUAACUGAAAGCAUUUCCUGAACUGUAAGCUCUGCGAGAAGAAACAGGUUGGUUUUUGCUCACUGGUCUUCAUCUAGCUCUGAUACAAUGCCCGGCACCUAGGAUGUGCUCGGUAAACGUGUAUUCAAGGAAUAAUGUACAAUUUCUAAUUUGUGAUUUGUCCAACUCUUACUCUCCUCUUUUGCAAUGGUCCUGACACAUUCCUAAAUUCUGUUCACUAAACAUACAGGGAUUGUAAGCAUAGAAUUAUUCAAUCCAAGCAACCUUUUCAAGAGAGGAAAACUAACUUAUGUGAGACUGAGAAAGAUGGACUCUGACAUUACUCAGUAACGAAGCCCAGGCAUAUCUUUGCUGGCCCGUGCUAAGAGGAAGGUCUGUGGUUAACUCACAUUCCUUUUCCCCUACUGAGCACUUGUAAAUUUCCUUGAACAUUAAUUUAAUAUUAAUAGCCUUAAACAGCUGUGGGAGAGUUGUGGUAAAAACAAGGCGGCUGGUAGACAGCAGUGUCAUAUUUCAAACCCAAAUCCAAGGUCUCAGCAACGUCUAAUUUUUUGGAAUGUGAGUUGUGAAAUUCGAAACUAUUAGAAUAAUUGGAAGUGCCAGAGAACACUGGAUGAGUGGUAAUUAAAGCGGACGUGCAAACCAGCCUGAGGGGCAAGGUGUGGCAAGAGGUGUCUCGAAUCUGCCUCGCAAACUUAAUCUCUAUUCUUGAUGACAUCUGCAUUUUCCUUUAUAUUAGAUGGUAACUAAACUGGCCAAGUCUGAGAAUGCCUGCAAGCCCUCAACCUAAGGCAAUUCCUUAGAGUUCUCAGGAUGACUUCAAAAGGAUAGCACAUCUACACACUCUACCAGUAGCUGAUGAAUGCAAGGCUGGGUCCUUCCCUCGCUGCCACCCAAUUCAUACCCCCAGUAACACCUAUGCAAGGGCCUGGAGCACAAGGUUGUAUGCAUGACAGCUAGAGUGGGGUUUUAUUUUGUGGUUAUAUUUUAUUGAAUAGGGUUACUGAGACAUAACUGACAUAAGAUAAUUGCACAUAUUUAUUGGGUAGGAUUUGAUGUUUUAACAUAUAUACACACCAUGUUUGAAUGUAUAUACCCCCCUGACACCAUCACCACAAUGGAGAUACUGAACAAUCCUAUCACCUCCAAAAAAAAGUGUCCUCCUGCCCCUUUGUAACCCCUCUCUCUUGCCCCUCCCCAUCUUCCUUUCACACAAGACGACCACUCAUUUGCUUUCUUCCACUAUAUGUUAAAUGUCAUUUGCUAAAAUAGAUAGAACCAUACUGUCUUAUUUUACACGGCUUCUUUAAUUUAGCAUAGUUAUUCUAUUGACAUUUACAUUCUCCAUGUUGUAGUACAAAUUCCUUUUCACUAUAGACUAACCCUCUAUUUUAUAACACACAACUUGUUUAUCCAUUUAUCUGCUGAACAUGUGGAAUGUUUGUAGCUAUUAAAAAUAGAGCUGAUAGUAAUGUUUAUGUAAAAGUGUUUCUAAAGACAUAGCUUUCAUUCCUCUUGAGUAAGUAACUAGGAGUAGAAUAGCUGAGUUUAUGUUUAACUAUUUAAGAAACUUCAAAAUAUUUUCCAAAGUGGUUAUAAUAGUUUUGCAUUCCUAACAUGAGUGUAUGGAGUGUAUGACAUUUCGAAUCCCCCAAGCACUUUGCCAACACUUAGUAUAGCAGGUCUUUUUUUUUUUUUUUUAGGGAUAUAUUGUUAGCUCAUUGUGGUAGCUCGUUAAUUUGUUAUCUCCAAACUAACUAGUGAUGGUGAGUAUCUUUUAGCGUGUUCCUUUGUCAUCAGUACAUGUUUUAGUGAUUUAUUCAAAUAUUUUGUCCAUUUUUAGUUGGAUUGUUUAUUAUCAUUGUAAGAGUUCAUUUCAGUGCUUUACAAUUCCCCUUAUCCACAGGGAAUAUGUUCCAAGACCUCUGUGGAUGCCUGAAACUGUGGAUACUCCCAAACCCUAUAUAUACUGUUUUUUUUUUUCCUCUACAGUAGUAUCUAUGACAAAUUUAUAAAUUAUCUACAGUAAGAGAUUAACAACAAUAACCAAUAAUAACACAGGACAAUUUUAGCAACAUACUCCAAUAAAAGUUAUGUGAAUGUGGCCUCUUUCCCUCAAAAUAUCUUAUUGUACUUUAUUCACCCUUCUUGUGACGAUGUGAGACAAUAAAAUACCUACAUGAUGCGAUGAAGUGAGGUGAGUGACGUGGGCACUAUGACAUGGUGCAGGCUACUAUUGACCUUCUGACAACAGGUGAGAAGAAGGAUCAUCGCCAUCUGGAUCACCAUUGACUGGUACAAAGUGAAACUGUGGAUACUGGAGGAUUGCUGUGUAUCUUCGGAAGACGUAUCCUUUAUCAUGUAUCAUGAAGCAUAUCAUAUGCACAUAGUGCUUUGCAAAUAUUCU